AAAUUGCUACUCUAAAGCCAUUGGUGGAUGCCUUGGCAGAGAGAACCGAGGAAGGACGGUUGUAUAGGGCCGAUAUCGACGGGUUGCUCCUCAACAAGCUUUAUCCGUUGGUUUCCGAAUGGAGAAAUCCGCCCCGAUUUACAUCGUGGGCGAUCAAGCGUAAAUACAUAGCGCUUGAUCGGGUACCCCCCGAACUGAAACAUCUAAGUAGGGGGAGGAAAAUAAAAUAAUAAUGAUUCCCCAAGUAGCGGCGAGCGAAAAGGGAACAGGCUAAACUUCGUCCGCAAGGGCGGAGGGUUGUGGGACGCUUGAUGACAUAAACUUUUGGUAAAAGAAUCCUCUGGAAAGGGGAACCAUAGAAAGUGACAGUCUUGUAUUUUAAACUGAAAGUUUGUCUGUGCGUAUCCCAAGUACCACGCGACACGUCACCGUGUGGGAAUCCGUGACGACCAUCGUCAUAAGCCUAAAUAUUCUCUCUGACCGAUAGUGAACUAGUACCGUGAGGGAAAGGUGAAAAGAACCCCGGAAGGGGAGUGAAAUAGUAACUGAAACCAUUGGCUAACAAACAGCAGAAGUCCUUCGGCCGCAAGGCCUAGGGAUAACUGCGUGCCUAUUGAAGAAUGAACCGGUGAGUUGUCUGUGCUUGCGUUAGUUUAACCCCGCCAAGCGGGGGGAGGCGUAGUGAAAGCAAACCUUAACAGGGUGUUUUUAGCAUGUGCAGGCAGACCCGAAGCCCAGUGAGCUAACCUUGAGCAGGGUGAAUGCUGUCCGAAAGGACGCAGGAGGCCCGAACUCGUAGUCGUUGCAAUGACUUGAGAUGACUUGAGGUUAGGGGUUAUAUGCCUAUCGAACUGGGGUAUAGCUGGUUCUCCCCGAAAUAUAUAUAGGUAUAGCGGUCAAUUAUGAUUUUCUGGAGGUAGAGCACUGAAUUGACACGGCGGGGCAACUCGUUUUGUCAAAUCAAACUCCUAAUGCCAGAAAGUUUAUGUGGCCAGUCAGAAAGCGACGGCUAAGCGCCGUUUUCUAAAGGGAAACAGCCCAGACUCUUGAUUAAGGUCCCUAAAUUGAAACUAAGUCUAAGGAGGUCAGAUUUUUUAUACACCCAGGAGGUUGGCUCAGAAGCAGCCAUCCUUUAAAGAAAGCGUAACAGCUCACUGGAAUAAAAGUCAGGCGCCUAAAAUGAUCGGGAAUUAAGUUUCAUACCGAAAUCAGAGAUGUCCCGCUUUUGCGGGGCGUGGUAGGGGAGCGUUCUAACGGCAGCGAAGGUUACGACGUAAGUCGGGCUGGAGCUGUUAGAAGUGAGAAUGCCGGUAUGAGUAGCGUAAUUCAAAGUGAGACUCUUUGAAGUCGAAAACCCAAGGUUUCCCCGACAACGUUAAUCGGUCGGGGGUUAGUCGGCCCUAAGCGCGAUCCUUAAGGAGUAGCGCGAUGGACAAUUGGUUUAUAUUCCAAUACAGGAUUUAAUGCGUUAUCACCCAAGGGAGACAGAGGAAGGAUAGUUCUUCCCGCCGUAAAAGUUGGUGGGAUUAAGUACCGAAAUAGUGUUAACUGGAAAACCCGUUAAUAUGAUUAAUUAAGGUACGACAGAGGACGAGUCUUUGCUUUCCAGAAAAUUCUCGUGGGGAGUGUUAAGUUUUUCCGUACCGCAAACCGACUCUGGUGGGUAGGUCGAGAAGACCAAGACUUUCGGAUGAACUUUGGCUAAGGAACUCGGCAAAAAAGCUCGAUGUAACUUAGGGAGAUAUCGUCCCCGCACCGUCAGGGUACGGGGGUCACCAAAAGUUUAUUAUCUAACUGUUUAACUAAAACACAGGUCUGUGCAAAGCCGAAAGGCAACGUAUACAGGCUGAGGCCUGCCCAGUGCUAGUAGAUCAAAAAUGGGGGUGAUUCCGAUUUAUUCGGAGCAGCUCUUGUUCAAAGUCCUAGUGAACGGCAGCAGUAACUAUAACUGUUCUAUGGUAGCGAAGUUCCUCGACAGGGGGCCUUGUGAUAAUCUAAACGUCACAUGGCGAACUUGACUAUAUGCUGGAAUAUCUGAAGUAUCUUGCACUACCUGACAAAAAUAUAUAACAUGGAUUUAUGUCGGGUGACAAUGUGUCAAGUGCAGACAAUCAGCAGGGAACGUUGUACUAUUAUUUUACCGGCUUUAUAGUCGGUGAAAGUUCCGUAAGUAUAAUAAAGGCGACAAAUAAAGGGACAGGGCAAGGUUUUUAUUUUGCUUUGGAUUUAACCGUAAGUAAUGCCGAUUUAAUUUUAUUAAAAGAAUUAAACCAGGUUGUUGCUUGCGAAAAGGGAAUUAUUUCUCCUAUAAAAGGAGGCUAUAACCUUUCAAUCCGAGGGAAAGAAAAAAUAAAACCAGCGUUGUCUUUUUUAAAUAGAUUUCCACCUCCAGCAGGGGAUCUUUUUAAAGAAAAACUAAAUAUUCUUAAAAAGGCUCUGGAGCUUUUAUCAGUUAAAAACUAUAAAAUUGAGGAGGUUGAGAAAUUACGCCAAAGACUUAAGGAUAUUAAAAUAACCGCAAAAGCGGUAAAACACUUUCCAGUAAUAUUCGACGUGAGAAGUGUGGGGUAUUUUCUUUCAGGUAUCGUAGACGCAGAAGGGUCAAUGGGUUGGCGAAGGUCAGGUAACCGACAGCAACCAUAUUUCUGUGUUCUUAUGCGGGAAGAAGCCAUUAUUGAUUUAUUUAUAAAACAAUUUGGUUUUGGGCAUAAAUAUUAUCGACCAAAAGAAAAACUUCAUCAUUUUGAAACGGGCAAAAGGGAAGAUGUGGCCAAACUUGCAGAUUAUUUUUUAAAUAAAUUUCCGGUUAAAUUGGCAAAAAAUCGCCAAAGACUGGAAAAUUUACAACGGAUCCUCAACGACUACAUGCCAAGCCCCGCCUUUGGCGGGGAAGAUAUAGUCUGAACUCCGCAACGAUGCGGAGAUUAACAAUAUUGUGUCGGGUGAAUCUUGAAAAACAGAUUUACUUGCCCGAAUCCCGCGAAUUCCGCCAGCUGGCGGACGAAGUGGGAGCACUCGGGAAUCGCUACAAUUUUAUUAGUUAAACAAAUGUAUUUCGUGCAAUAGAGUGUAAAAUCUGUCUAUAUGCUGGAAUAACUGGUUAUUUCAACAGUAGUGUGACAAUAUUCACACUGACAAUCUGUUGAUACAGUCAAUCAGCAGGAAAGAAAUAUGCUUACUCAAAAACUGGAUGCAAACACUGUACUAAAAGAACACGCUGCAACAUUACCAAUUAAACAUGGUAAUAUGGUGGAGGCUGUUCAACCAACAGAUGUUAAAAUUGAGCAUCCAGGUACAGCUCGUAUCGCAGUAACUAAUUGCCCGCACUGCGGAAUUCGACUUGAGACGUACCCUUUCAGAGAUGCGUGGUACGUAGUUUAAGUUUAUUUAUCCUCAGAGACUACACGACAGACUUAAUAAGAUCCUGAAACACGUUCAGGAUGACAUUAUUAAGAUGAUAUAGUCCACAAAUGAAGUUCCGACCCGCACGAACGGCAGAAUGAGAUAAUAACUGUCUUAGCCAAAGAUCCGGCGAAAUUGAAAUGGCUGUGAAGAUGCGGCCUAGUCUUGCCAGGACAAAAAGACCCCGUGGAGCUUUACUGCAACUUGACAUUGUUGAUUUAUUUUCAAUUGUUUAGCAAUAGGUGGGAGCCGCAAGGCAUUAAUGAAAGACCACUCUUUGAGAAUGAGGAGACUAACCUUCGCCCAAUAAAGAUUUGGGGAUGGGACAUUGUCUGGUGGGCAGUUUAACUGGGGAGGUUGACUCCUAAAUUGUAACGGAGUCGUACAAAGGUACGCUAGUCCCGGAUGGAAAUCGGGAUGAUAGGGCAAACCCAUAAGCGUGCUUGACUGUGAGACAUACAAGUCGAUCAGGAACGAAAGUUGGUGUUAGUGAUCCUCUCUCGCUUUAUGGUAGGCGGAGAGCUUAACGGAUAAAAGCUACCCCGGGGAUAACAGGCUGAUCUCGCCCAAGCGUCCACAGCGACGGCGUGGUUUGGCACCUUAAAUAUGGCAUUGGGGUGCAUUAAAAGUAAUUUUAUUCCUAAAUCUUUUUGUCAUUUAAAUAAAUUCAGCUAAUAUCGGUGAAGUCCUAAGUUCGGCAGUGGUAAAAAACCGAACGGAUAAUACCGAGGGAACCCCGAGAGUAAUCGAAGGGACCCGUAUCGACUUGCGUCCGACUUUUGUCGGACCUAAUGGACAAAAAAAUAUUUUAAGUUCAUUACACGCUGACCCCCACUACGCUCUAAAGAGCUACGCGGGGUGAAGAUAUAGUCAGAUCUUUCAAGUAAUUGAGAGGGCGUCCAUUAAUACGGAUAUUAAUGGGUAUACGCGAUGUCGGCUCAUCCUAUCCUGGAGGGGCAGUACCUUCCAAGGGUCCGGCUGUUCGCCGGUUAAAAGGGUACGCGAGCUGGGUUCAGAACGUCGUAAGACAGUUCGGACUCUAUCCGGCAAGACCGUUUGGAAUUUUGAGGGGAGUCACCCACAGUACGAGAGGACCUGGGCGAACGAAUCCCUGGUGUGCCAGUUGUCCCGUUAGGGGCAUCGCUGGGUAGCUACAUUCGGAUCGGAUAAGCGCUGAAAGCAUAUAAGCGCCAAGCCGACCCCAAGAUUAAAAUUCCCUAUUAGACCCGUUGAAGACUACAACGUACAUAGGCAGCAAGUACAAGAACCGUAAGGUUUUAAGCUUAGCUGUACUAAUCGGUCGAAGUCGCAAUUUAA
rnacentral:rRNA from 1 species